AAUAAAGCAUCAAUACGCAUUCAUACCAUACUAAAAAGAAUCUUCUUAUAGAAAUAGAACAAAAAAUCAAGAGCUUCGAGCCAAUAAAGACUAAGAAGAUUGACUCAAGAACCAAUUUGAUUCUGAGCUCCAUUGUAGAAUUCGGACCUAACCAUUAAGUAAGAAGUGAUGGGAACGACGGAACUUGUGAAUGCAAAAGAUUCUAUUGAAAAAGGAAUCUUAAUGAUUCACUGGUCGGGAUGGCGGAACGAACCAUAGAUUAAUUCAUGUAUUCUGAGAUCUGAGAAGUCACGAGUUAACCCUACAAAUGAAAUAGGGAUUGAAAGAGUAAAUAUUCGCCCGCGAAAACUUUUUUAUUGCAAAAUUUAGGACAAUACAAUAAAGGACAAAAUAAGGAUUUGGUAUAAUAAUACAAUUUUUUUUAUUUCUCUUUAGAAAACUACAAAGUUUAGUUAUCUAUUCAAACAAGAUAUACAAAUUACUAAUAGAUUUAAUGAAAUCUCAAAGAAGCCCACGUUCAAGGUAUUACUCAGUAAAUACAUAUCUUAUAUAUCUUAACUUAAGAUUUACUAUUCUAGCUUAAUUCAAAUUGAAUUUUUUUGAAUCCUUUUAUUUGCGAGGAGCUGGAUGAGAAGAAACUCUCACGUCCGGUUCUGUAGUAGAGAUGGAAUUCAGAACCAACCAUCAACUAUAACCCCAAAAGAACCAGAUUCCGUAAACAACAUAGAGGCAGAAUGAAGGGAAUAUCUUAUCGAGGUAAUCGUAUUUCUUUCGGUAAAUAUGCUCUUCAGGCACUUGAACCUGCUUGGAUUACAUCUCGACAAAUAGAAGCAGGCCGACGGGCAAUGACACGAAAUGCACGUCGUGGUGGAAAAAUAUGGGUACGUAUAUUUCCAGACAAACCUGUUACAUUAAGACCGGCAGAAACCCGUAUGGGUUCAGGAAAAGGAUCCCCUGAAUAUUGGGUAGCUGUUGUUAAACCGGGGCGAAUACUUUAUGAAAUGGGUGGAGUAACAGAAAAUAUAGCCAGAAGGGCUAUUUCACUAGCAGCAUCCAAAAUGCCUAUACGAACUCAAUUCAUUAUUUCGUAAUGUAAUAGAAAAAAAUGUAGAAAGGGCUCUUAGAUAUGAAAGAAAACCGCAUGUUUCUUUUUUUUGGACAAAAAUAUUUCUUUUUUUUUCUUCGCCCUUUGCAUUCAAAGAACGGAUUAAAAAAAUGAUUCAACCUCAGACCCAUUUAAAUGUAGCGGAUAAUAGCGGGGCUCGAGAAUUGAUGUGUAUUCGAAUCAUAGGAGCUAGCAAUCGUCGAUAUGCUCAUAUUGGUGACGUUAUUGUUGCUGUGAUCAAAGAAGCAGUACCAAAUAUGCCCCUAGAAAGAUCAGAAGUAGUCAGAGCUGUAAUUGUGCGUACCUGUAAAGAACUCAAACGUGACAACGGGAUGAUAAUACGAUACGAUGACAAUGCUGCAGUUGUUAUUGAUCAAGAAGGAAAUCCAAAAGGAACUCGAAUUUUUGGUGCAAUCGCCCGGGAAUUGAGAGAAUUAAAUUUUACUAAAAUAGUUUCAUUAGCUCCCGAGGUAUUAUAAAAUGAAAUUGUGAUCUGUUUCGAGUGGGGUAUUUGAAAGAAAUAGAUUAAUUAGUAGAUUGUGUCUCACGCAUAUAUCUUUAAUAAUUCAUAUCAUAUUCAAAAAUAAAUAAGUAAAAAACACGUUGAUUAUAUCAAAUUUGGAGACCCCAAUAAUUUUAGUUCAUCAUGGGCAGGGACACUAUUGCUGAGAUAAUAACUUCUAUACGAAAUGCUGAUAUGGAUCGAAAAAGGGUGGUUCGAAUAGCAUCUACUAAUAUUACCGAAAAUAUUGUUCAAAUACUUUUACGAGAGGGUUUUAUCGAAAACGUGAGAAAACAUCGAGAAAACAACAAAUACUUUUUGGUUUUAACCCUGCGACAUAGAAGGAAUAGGAAAAGACCCUAUAGAAAUAUUUUAAAUUUAAAACGAAUCAGUCGACCUGGUCUACGAAUCUAUUCUAAUUAUCAACGAAUUCCGCGAAUUUUAGGUGGAAUGGGGAUUGUAAUUCUUUCUACUUCUCGAGGUAUAAUGACAGACCGAGAGGCUCGACUAGAAGGAAUAGGUGGAGAAAUUUUGUGUUAUAUCUGGUAAUCCUUUAUAAUAUGCAAAUUGAAUUCGAAACUUCCUAUUUGCGAAAAAGGGGGGGAGAGUUAUCUAAUAUCUUUCGCAUUAGUUGAUACCUCAAAGGAACUUUGUUUUAUACAGAUACUGCCAGGAGAUAGAGUCAAAAUUGAAGUAAGUCCUUAUGAUUCAACCAAAGGACAUAUAAUUUAUCGACUCCACAACAAAGAUUUGAAGGAUUAGGUUUUCAACUUCACCAUUCCUUUCGUGGGAAUACAAUUCGAGAUGAAAAAUUUCAAGAAACUUAUUUUCUUCCAAGAAAUAGAUUCAGAAUUAAGGUAAGGAAUGAUAAAUAUGAAAAUAAGAGCUUCCGUUCGUAAAAUUUGUGAAAAAUGUCGACUAAUCCGUAGGAGGGGGCGCAUUAUAGUAAUUUGUUCCAACCCGAGACAUAAACAAAGACAGGGCUAAUCAGACUUGCCAGAAGAGCCGAUGUACAAAUAAAGAAUCUGUUUUGACAUGAAAUGGAUAUAUCCAUAUAUCUCUGACUCAUAUUUACGAGAUGAUAAAAUAUGGCAAAAGCUAUACCGAAAAUUAGUUCGCGUCGGAAUGGACGUAUUAGUUCACGUAAGGGUGCACGUAGAAUACCAAAGGGAGUUAUUCAUGUUCAAGCAAGUUUCAAUAAUACCAUUGUCACUGUUACAGAUGUACGGGGUCGAGUAGUUUCUUGGUCCUCAGCUGGUACUUCUGGAUUCAAAGGUACGAGAAGAGGAACACCGUUUGCUGCUCAAACCGCAGCAGCAAACGCUAUCCGUACAGUAGUGGAUCAAGGUAUGCAACGAGCAGAAGUCAUGAUAAAAGGUCCCGGUCUCGGAAGAGAUGCAGCAUUACGAGCUAUUCGUCGCAGUGGUAUACUAUUAACUUUCGUACGGGAUGUAACUCCGAUGCCACAUAAUGGCUGUAGACCUCCGAAAAAAAGACGUGUGUAGAACUGAACAUUGAAGAAAUCUCAAGAGAAAUAAAAGAUUCGAUGAUCUAAUCAAAUAAUAGUACUAUGGUUCGAGAGAAAGUAACAGUAUCUACUCGGACACUACAGUGGAAGUGUGUUGAAUCAAGAACAGACAGUAAACGCCUUUAUUAUGGACGCUUUAUUCUGUCUCCACUUAUGAAAGGCCAAGCCGACACAAUAGGCAUUGCGAUGCGAAGAGCUUUACUUGGGGAAAUAGAAGGAACAUGUAUCACACGUGUAAAAUCUGAGAAAGUACCACAUGAAUAUUCUACCAUAACGGGCAUUCAAGAAUCGGUACAUGAAAUUUUAAUGAAUUUGAAAGAGAUUGUAUUGAGAAGUAAUUUAUAUGGAACUUCUGAGGCGUCUAUUUGUGUCAAGGGUCCUGGAUAUGUAACUGCUCAAGAUAUCAUCUUGCCACCUUAUGUGGAAAUCGUUGAUAAUACACAACAUAUAGCUAGUUUAACGGAACCAAUUGAUUUUUGUAUUGGAUUACAAAUAGAGAGAAAUCGUGGAUAUCUUAUAAAAACGCCACAUAACUUUCAAGAUGGAAGUUAUCCUAUAGAUGCUGUAUUCAUGCCUGUUCGAAACGCGAAUCAUAGUAUUCAUUCUUAUGGGAAUGGGAAUGAAAAACAAGAGAUACUUUUUAUCGAAAUAUGGACAAACGGAAGUUUAACUCCGAAAGAAGCACUUCAUGACGCAUCCCGAAAUUUAAUUGAUUUAUUUAUUCCCUUUUUACAUAUGGAGGAAGACAACUUAUAUUUACAGGACAAUCAACACACGGUUCCUUUAUCCCCUUUUACCUUUCAUGAUAAAUUGGCUAAACUCAUAAAAAACAAAAAAAAAAUAGCAUUGAAAUCGAUUUUUAUUGACCAAUCAGAAUUGUCUUCCAGGAUCUAUAAUUGCCUCAAAAUGUCCAAUAUAUAUACAUUAUUGGACCUUUUGAAUAACAGCCAAGAAGAUCUUAUGAAAAUUGAACAUUUUCGUAGCGAAGAUAUAAAACAGAUAUUGGACAUUUUAGAAAAAUAUUUCGUAAUUGAUUUAGCAAAAAAUAAGUUUUAAAUCUAUUGGACUUACUUAGUGAAAAUAGAUUGAAAAAGCACAAUUUAGCACAAUUAAUAUAUCAUAUAUUAGAUAUUAGAAAGAAAUUAAUAAUGAAAUUGAAUAGAUGUAUCUAGGGAGAAUUCGCUUUGAAGAAACUAUUCCCUAGAUACACAUGUCGUGUUAGUUCACAAUUGAAUCAAUUAAAAAAUUUAAAAAAGACCUAAAGUUAGGGAUUUAUCAAUAGGUAAUGUUGCACCAAUGCCCAACCAAAGGGCGACUGCGGUACCAAUCAAAAAGACAGUCGUCGCUACUGGACGGCGAAAUGGAUUUUGGAAUUUAUUAACAUUCUCUAAAAAAGGUACUGUUAAUAAUCCCGCAGGUACUGAAACCAUUAAAAGAACCCCCAAUAAUUUAUUGGGCACUGUACGAAGUAUUUGAAAUACAGGAAAGAAAUACCAUUCAGGUAAGAUUUCCAAAGGGGUUGCAAAUGGAUCCGCUGGUUCACCAAUCAUUGAUGGUUCUAAAACGGCUAAGCCUACAUUACAUGCAAUAGUACCUAGAAUUACUACUGGAAAAAUAUAUAAAAGAUCAUUGGGCCAUGCGGGCUCGCCAUAAUAAUUAUGACCCAUACCCUUAGCCAAUUUAGCUCUUAAUACAGGAUCAUUCAAGUCAGGUUUUUUUGUUAUUGGGAUAGGUGAAUUCUUAUAGAUCCAUCCCCCGAGGGAACUGGACAUGAUAAUUUUUAAUCAUCCAGCUCGAGCAAGAAUAAAAAGAACCAAACGAAUCCAUAUAUCCAUAGAAAAUAUCUAUAUGGUACCUGUAUUUAC
rnacentral:lncRNA from 1 species